UAUCAUGAACUGCCAUAUCCUUAGCCCAGUAAGCUUUUAAUUUUGUGUUUUUGUUACUGUCAAUGAUACAUCUUUGCUUGUUCAGAACCAUCCAACUUGUUACUGUGCUGAAAUGGCUUAACCUUGCUGUAAUUCUUUUCUGAUGGGAUCAUUUAUAGUAACAAAAACACAAAAUUAAAAGCUUAUUGGGCUAAGGAUAUGGCAGUUCAUGAUAU
rnacentral:misc_RNA from 1 species